rnacentral:rRNA from 1 species
CUGGCCGUAAACGAUGAACACUAGAUGUUGGGGGAAUCGACCCCCUCGGUGUCGUAGCUAACGCGUUAAGUGUUCCGCCUGGGGAGUACGCACGCAAGUGUGAAACUCAAAGGAAUUGACGGGGGCCCGCACAAGCGGUGGAGUAUGUGGUUUAAUUCGAUGCAACGCGAAGAACCUUACCAAGGCUUGACAUCCUGCGAAUCUCCAAGAAAUUGGAGAGUGCCUUUUGGAACGCAGUGACAGGUGGUGCAUGGCUGUCGUCAGCUCGUGUCGUGAGAUGUUGGGUUAAGUCCCGCAACGAGCGCAACCCACGUUUUUAGUUGCCAGCAUUCAGUUGGGCACUCUAGAAAGACUGCCGGUGACAAACCGGAGGAAGGUGUGGACGACGUCAAGUCAUCAUGCCCCUUACGCCUUGGGCUACACACGUACUACAAUGCUGCGGACAAAGAGUAGCGAUCUUGCGAAAGUUAGCUAAUCUCGUAAACCGUGGCUCAGUUCAGAUCGUAGGCUGCAACUCGCCUACGUGAAGGAGGAAUCGCUAGUAAUCGCAGGUCAGCAUACUGCGGUGAAUACGUUCCCGGGCCUUGUACACACCGCCCGUCACACCAUGGAAGUUGGCCAUGCCCGAAGUCGUUACUCUAACCUUUUGGAAGAGGGCGCCGAAGGCAGGGCUAAUGACUGGGGUGAAGUCGUAACAAGGUAGCCGUAGCGGAAGCUGCGGCUGGAUCACCUCCUAA